UCCACGCCCUAAACGAUGUCAACUAAGUGUGUGGGAGUUUAACUCCUGCGUAUUGAAGCUAACGCGAUAAGUUGACCGCCUGGGGAGUACGGUCGCAAGACUAAAACUCAAAUGAAUUGACGGGGGGCCCGCACAAGCGGUGGAGCAUGUGGUUUAAUUCGAUGCAACGCGAAGAACCUUACCAGGUCUUGACAUGUACGGAAUUUUCCAGAGACGGAAAAGUGCCUUCGGGA
rnacentral:rRNA from 1 species